GAUGAACGCUGGCGGCGUGCCUAAUACAUGCAAGUCGAGCGAACAGACGAGGAGCUUGCUCCUCUGACGUUAGCGGCGGACGGGUGAGUAACACGUGGAUAACCUACCUAUAAGACUGGGAUAACUUCGGGAAACCGGAGCUAAUACCGGAUAAUAUAUUGAACCGCAUGGUUCAAUAGUGAAAGACGGUUUUGCUGUCACUUAUAGAUGGAUCCGCGCUGCAUUAGCUAGUUGGUAAGGUAACGGCUUACCAAGGCAACGAUGCGUAGCCGACCUGAGAGGGGGAUCGGCCACACUGGAACUGAGACACGGUCCAGACUCCUACGGGAGGCAGCAGUAGGGAAUCUUCCGCAAUGGGCGAAAGCCUGACGGAGCAACGCCGCGUGAGUGAUGAAGGUCUUCGGAUCGUAAAACUCUGUUAUUAGGGAAGAACAAAUGUGUAAGUAACUGUGCACGUCUUGACGGUACCUAAUCAGAAAGCCACGGCUAACUACGUG
rnacentral:rRNA from 1 species